GACGAACGCUGGCGGCGUGCUUAACACAUGCAAGUCGAACGAUGAUGCUGGAGCUUGCUCCAGUUGAUUAGUGGCGAACGGGUGAGUAACACGUGAGCAAUCUGCCCUUGACUCUGGGAUAACUGCGGGAAACUGUAGCUAAUACCGGAUACUUUCACCGGGGAGCAUCCUCUGGGGAUGAAAGAAUUUCGGUCAAGGAUGAGCUCGCGGCCUAUCAGCUUGUUGGUGAGGUAACGGCUCACCAAGGCGACGACGGGUAACCGGCCUGAGAGGGUGACCGGUCACACUGGGACUGAGACACGGCCCAGACUCCUACGGGAGGCAGCAGUGGGGAAUAUUGCACAAUGGGCGCAAGCCUGAUGCAGCAACGCCGCGUGAGGGAUGAAGGCCUUCGGGUUGUAAACCUCUUUUAGCAGGGAAGAAGCGAAAGUGACGGUACCUGCAGAAAAAGCACCGGCUAACUACGUGCCAGCAGCCGCCGUAA
rnacentral:rRNA from 1 species